rnacentral:rRNA from 1 species
UACAGAGGGUGCAAGCGUUGUUCGGAAUUACUGGGCGUAAAGCGCGUGUAGGUGGUGGCAUAAGUCGGAUGUGAAAUCCCUCGGCUUAACCGAGGAAGUGCAUCCGAUACUGCGUCACUUGAGUACUGGAGGGGAUGGCGGAAUUCCCGGUGUAGAGGUGAAAUUCGUAGAUAUCGGGAGGAACACCUGUGGCGAAGGCGGCCAUCUGGACAGUCACUGACACUGAGACGCGAAAGCGUGGGUAGCAAACAGG